rnacentral:rRNA from 1 species
UGCAGUCGACGGUAACAGGUGUAGCAUACAUGCUGACGAGUGGCGCACGGGUGUGUAACGCGUAUGCAACCUACCUAUAACUGGGGAAUAGCCUUCUGAAAGGAAGAUUAACACCGCAUAACAUCAUGAAACGGCAUCGUUUUAUGAUCAAAUCUCCGGAGGUUAUAGAUGGGCAUGCGUGACAUUAGCUAGUUGGUGAGGUAACGGCUCACCAAGGCUACGAUGUCUAGGGGGUCUGAGAGGAUGAUCCCCCACACUGGUACUGAGACACGGACCAGACUCCUACGGGAGGCAGCAGUAAGGAAUAUUGGACAAUGGGCGCAAGCCUGAUCCAGCCAUGCCGCGUGAAGGAUGACGGCCCUCUGGGUUGUAAACUUCUUUUAUAUGGGAAUAAACCCCCCUUUUCUAAGGGGGCUGAAUGUACCAUAAGAAUAAGGAUCGGCUAACUUCGUGCCAGCAGCCGCGGUAAUACGAAGGAUCCAAGCGUUAUCCGGAUUUAUUGGGUUUAAAGGGUGCGUAGGCGGACUAUUAAGUCAGUGGUGAAAGCCUGCAGCUUAACUGCAGAACUGCCAUUGAUACUGAUGGUCUUGAGUACAUUUGAGGUGGGCGGAAUGUGUCAUGUAGUGGUGAAAUACUUAGAUAUGACACAGAACUCCGAUUGCGAAGGCAGCUCACUAAACUGUAACUGACGCUGAGGCACGAAAGCGUGGGGAUCAAACAGGAUUAGAUACCCUGGUAGUCCACGCCCUAAACGAUGAUUACUCGAUGUGUGCGAUACACUGUACGCGUCUGAGCGAAAGCAUUAAGUAAUCCACCUGGGGAGUACGGCCGCAAGGCU